rnacentral:sRNA from 1 species
AGAUGCAGGCGCGAACUGGAAGGCAGCUGGGGAAGGGCCUGGGCCUGGCGCCCCAAGGACAGCCUGUCCUCAGUUUCCCAGCGGAGACUCUGGGGGAGGGAAGGCAGGAUGCGGUGCGGGAGCUAAUGGACCCGGCCUUGGCGGAGGCGCGUCCUGGGUUGGAUCGAAGCCCUCUCAUCCGCCCUGUGGCCGGAGGGACCAGACCAUUAGUGGGACGAACCUAGACGCCUGGAGCCGGGCCGGCUCGCAAGAACGGGGAUCAGUUCGAGGUGCUCGAGCGCCACACGCAGUGGGGGCUGGACCUGUUGGACAGAUAUGUAAAGUUCGUGAAAGAACGCACCGAAGUGGAACAGGCUUACGCCAAACAACUGCGGAGCCUGGUGAAAAAAUAUCUGCCCAAGAGACCUGCCAAGGAUGAUCCUGAGUCCAAGUUCAGCCAGCAACAGUCCUUCGUACAGAUUCUCCAGGAGGUGAAUGACUUUGCAGGCCAGCGGGAGCUGGUGGCCGAGAACCUCAGUGUCCGUGUAUGUCUUGAGCUGACCAAG